GAGUCUAGCAUGUGCGCGAGUCAUUGGGACUCUUACGAAACCUAAAGGCGCAAUGAAAGUGAAGGUCCGCCUAGCGCGGACCGAGGGAGGAUGGGUGGUCUUGCGGGACCGCCUCGCACUCCCGGGGCGUCUCGUUCUCAUCGCGAGAAGAGGCGCACCCAGAGCGUACACGCUGGGACCCGAAAGAUGGUGAACUAUGCCUGGUCAGGACGAAGUCAGGGGAAACCCUGAUGGAGGUCCGUAGCGAUUCUGACGUGCAAAUCGAUCGUCGGAACUGGGUAUAGGGGCGAAAGACUAAUCGAACCAUCUAGUAGCUGGUUCCCUCCGAAGUUUCCCUCAGGAUAGCUGGCGCUCGCUUUUCGCGAGUCUCAUUCGGUAAAGCGAAUGAUUAGAGGCAUUGGGGUCGAAACGGCCUCAACCUAUUCUCAAACUUUAAAUGGGUGAGAUCUCCGGCUUGCUUGAACUGUGAAGCCGCGAGAUAUCGGAUCAGAGUGCCAAGUGGGCCACUUUUGGUAAGCAGAACUGGCGCUGUGGGAUGAACCAAACGCAGAGUUAAAGCGCCUAAAUCGACGCUUAUGGGAUACCAUGAAAGGCGUUGGUAACUUAAGACAGCAGGACGGUGGCCAUGGAAGUCGGA
rnacentral:rRNA from 1 species